AUUCUCAUCUAAAUCCUUCGAUCAUUGGUGUUUCAGCUUCUCUAAGUGUGGGGUGCCAUAGAAGGUGGGUUUAUCAAAUCCUUCGAUCAUUGGUGUUUCAGCUUCUCUAAGUUUUGGGCUUAUGUUUUAAAACUUAUGUGUUUGAUGUAUUAUUUUAGUGUGUGAUUGGGCUUGAGUCCUGUAUGUGGUCCGGCCAGGCCUAAGAAGAGUAUCUUAGGGUUUUAUUUUCUCUCCUUACUAUAUAAGGAUAAGAAACACUUGUAAGAGGAGCUUUGAAUCUAAAUUUUUAGAAUUCUUUUAAUGUUUUGGCGUGUAUUGCUUUAAGUGGGAUGAGGAUUUGCUUUCAUCAAUUGCACCAAGAAUCUUGGCUAACUUAUCAACUAUUCGUUGUGGCGUUUGUCAGAUUCUCAUCUAAAUCCUUCGAUCAUUGGUGUUUCAGCUUCUCUAAGUGUGGGGUGCCAUAGAAGGUGGGUUUAUCAAAUCUUUGGAUCUCAUAUCUACUUGUGUGUGUGGGUUUGAGGCUUGUGCCAUAGGGUUUCACGUCAGUUGGUAUCAGAGCCAAAGUGAGGUAAAUUCUGAUUUAUCUUAGGUUCUAGGGUUUUUGAGUUUUUCUUUUCUUCCUUAUUGAUUUCGGUGAAGUUUGUGUGUCCAUAGCUGCACCUUCUUGAUAAUGAAUCAUCACAUAAUAUCUUUUGAAAGAAAAAUUCGAAAUCCAUAAAAAAAAAAGAGGAAAUUCCAAGGAUUACUCUUGUUUGGCAAAAAAAAAAAUUCACCUUUGCCUUAUUUAUCUUGAUGUGGCCGAAAUUGUGAUAUGCUUCCUAUUUCAUCUGUAUUGCCUUACCUAUCUUAAUUGAUGGCUGUAAUUUAUGGGACUCGAGUUGAUUAUAUAUGUAAUAAGUUGGGCAUGAUUAACAUCUAUGCUCCAACUUGAGGGGGAGUAUUAUAAGUUAUAGGAAGUAAAUAUGUUAAUAUAGAAAGUAAAUAUUGAUAGAUGGGUCAGUUGCUUAAUCUCAGGAAUUAUAUAAUCAUAGACUUGAUUUUUCUUCCUGUUUAGAUACAGUCUCUCAUGUAUAAACAGGUUGUAAUUUCUAUUGUAAAAUACAACAAAUAUUAUCUUUCUACAAAUAGCUUCUCAGGAAAGAGGACAUUAUAAGGAGUAUUACCAUUUAGUACUGUGGAGGGCAUGCAAUUAAUAAGGAAGCAUACAGUAGAGAUAGCAUCGGCUCAAAAUUGCUUAGGAACUUACAUUUAAAACAACAGAGUUCAAGCAGUCUCAAAAAGAUGUCGAUUCUUCCUUUCAGCUACCCCAUUUUGAGCGAGUGUAUCAACAUACGAUGAUUGGUGAAGAAUACCAUGUUGAGUCAUAUAAGCCUAGAAUGAUUCUAACAUAUAUUCUUUAGCAUUGUCGCUCCGCAAAAUUUACACAGAAAUAUUAAAUUGAGUCUUGAUUUCAGCACAAAAGGCAAAAAAAAUGAGAAAACACUUCCAACUGGACAUGGUCCCCAAACAUCUGAAUGAACUAAUUCAAAAGCAGACUCUACUCCUUUAUUGACUCUUGGACUUAAAGAGUUUCGAUGAUGUUAAAUUUGGGCCAGGCCUAACUCACCCCAAAAGCUAGCUCAAGGGAGAGGAGUGCCUAUGGUCCAUAUAAGGGGCACAUUACCCCUUUCCACAACCGAUGUGGGAUUCAACAGAUGAUAUUUUGCAAAAUGACAUGACUCACAUUCCAAUAAAGAUAACUCAUGAAAUUGAGGGCAUAACUUCUUCAAAACCGGUAAAGAAGGAUGUCCCAACCGACAAUGUGCUUCAAACGGAAACACGACAUUGGAGCAGGCAACAGACCGAGGCACCCAUGCAUUCAAAAUGUAGAGACCCCAGAUACAUGUCCUUUACCAAUAAUUUGCUUCGUCACAAGAUCCUGAAUGAGACAAUAACCAGGAAAAAAGGAAACACAACAAUUUAAGUAUUUGGUAAGCUUACUCACAGAGAUUAAAUUAAAGGCAAGAUUAGAUAAACUUACCACAGAUGAUACAGUAAUAGAAAGAGUAGGUUUAACAGUCCCAGAACCCUCGACAUUAUAGGUUGACCCAUCAGCUAUAAUAACAGGAGAAUGUGCUUUAUGAGAUCGAAAGCUAGUAAAAAUAUGAGGAUUACAUGUCAUGUGAUCCGUGGUACCAGAAUCAAUGACCCAUUUAUAUAAAGAGGAAAUAAGACACGUUUUACUUGUCUCAGGCUCUCAGCCGCUACUGAAGACGUUGAGAUAACUUUAAUAAUAUGAGUCUUACUGUUAGAAACCAUUUCAACCAAAACCCUAUACUCCUAUACCUUCAAAUGGAUUAAAGGAAGAUAACAAAACCUAACCCAGUGAACAGUACACUAACACUGAAGAAACAGGACGUGAAUAGUACUAGAAUGAGAUCCAAACCAAAAACACCUCCAUCCAACACUCAAACAGCAAACAGACUACAGAACUGACAAAGGGGCUUUGAGGCGACUCCAGCCAACUGACUCGGCUUCGAGGCGACUCCGGCAAGGGUGACCAGAGCAGCAAUAGACACGUGACACGCCUCCACGAGCCGACGAGUGGGAUUGCGUGACACGGGGCAACUAGCCUUGGAUUUUACGGCAGAUUUGGACCGGGGCUAACUUUUAUAUUUUUAAUUAUUUUUGGAUAUUUUGGGUAUUUUUAUAUUAGGGUUUUAUUUCUAUUGUAAAUAGCCUCCUUGGCUAUUAGGAUUUUAGACUCCUUUUAGGAUUAGGAUUAUUUUUGCAUAUUAGGAUUUUAUUUCUAUUGUAAAUAGCCUCCCUUGGCUAUUAGGAUUUUAGACUCCUAUUAGGAUUAGGAUUAUUUUUGCAUAUUAGGAUUUUAUUUCUAUUGUAAAUAGCCUCCCUUGGCUAUUAGGAUUUUAGACUCCUAUUAGGAUUAGGAUUAUUUUAUUUCUAUUAUAAAUAGCCUCCCUUGGCUAUUAGAAACUCACUUUUCA
rnacentral:lncRNA from 1 species